CGAUGAUCCGGUGCUUGCACCGGGGAUUAGUGGCGAACGGGUGAGUAACACGUGAGUAACCUGCCCUUGACUCUGGGAUAAGCCUGGGAAACUGGGUCUAAUACCGGAUAUGACUCCUCAUCGCAUGGUGGGGGGUGGAAAGCUUUUGUGGUUUUGGAUGGACUCGCGGCCUAUCAGCUUGUUGGUGAGGUAAUGGCUCACCAAGGCGACGACGGGUAGCCGGCCUGAGAGGGUGACCGGCCACACUGGGACUGAGACACGGCCCAGACUCCUACGGGAGGCAGCAGUGGGGAAUAUUGCACAAUGGGCGCAAGCCUGAUGCAGCGACGCCGCGUGAGGGAUGACGGCCUUCGGGUUGUAAACCUCUUUCAGUAGGGAAGAAGCGAAAGUGACGGUACCUGCAGAAGAAGCGCCGGCUAACUACGUGCCAGCAGCCGCGGUAAUACGUAGGGCGCAAGCGUUAUCCGGAAUUAUUGGGCGUAAAGAGCUCGUAGGCGGUUUGUCGCGUCUGCCGUGAAAGUCCGGGGCUCAACUCCGGAUCUGCGGUGGGUACGGGCAGGCUAGAGUGAUGUAGGGGAGACUGGAAUUCCUGGUGUAGCGGUGAAAUGCGCAGAUAUCAGGAGGAACACCGAUGGCGAAGGCAGGUCUCUGGGCAUUAACUGACGCUGAGGAGCGAAAGCAUGGGGAGCGAACAGGAUUAGAUACCCUGGUAGUCCAUGCCGUAAACGUUGGGCACUAGGUGUGGGGGACAUUCCACGUUUUCCGCGCCGU
rnacentral:rRNA from 1 species